GUCACUGUGGAGCCUUUACUACGGCUGUUAGAGGAUUCCUGGUGCUCGGGCCAAGUCCCUGAGGACUGGGAAAAGGCCAAUGUGAUCCCUAUUUCCUCCCUAAGAAGGGGAGGAAGGAAGAGCCUGGCAACUACAGGCCAGUCAGCCUCAUUUCUUUCCUGGGGAAGGUCUUUAAAAAAAUUAUCAAGAGCCACAUUUGUGAGAGCCCUGCAGGGGAAGUGAUGUUGAGGGGUAAUCAACACGGGUUUGUGCCAGGCUGAUCCUGCCUGACUAACCUGGUCUCUUUCUAUGACCAGGAAACAAAAAGCUUAGAUGGGAAGGAGGAAGUCAAUGUCAUCUUCUUGGACUUCCACAAGGCCUUCGACACAGCAUCCCACCCAAAUCUGAUGGCUGUGCCCUGGUGGCUUACACCCAACACCAUCUGCACCACAUAACCACGGGCUUUGCUACUGCAGCACAACUGUACAGACUUACCAUCAUCCUGAGAAAGACUGAAGUUCUUCAUCAGCCAAUUCUAUGCCAAAAUUAUGUGCCACCAAAGAUGACUAUCAAAGGAACUGAGCUAAAUGCUGUCAAGCAGUUCACCUACCUGGGAAGUGUCAUCUCAUAUAAUACCGUGAUCAACAAGGAGGUAGACUACAGACUCUCAAAAGCGAGCAGUGCCUUCACUCUAUAGGCGGGUCUGGAAUAGUCACAGCCUACAGGCAUAGGCCAAAGUCAAGGUGUACAGAGCUGUUCUUAGCUCCACUCUGAUGUACCGUGCUGAGUCAUGAGUCUUAUAUCUCUGCCAUGUACACCUCCUUGAGUGCUUUCAUCAGCACUGCCUCUGUAGCAUUCUCAGAAUCUGCUGGCAGGAUUAUGAUACCAACAUGGAGGUGUUACAAAGAGCCAAUACCACCAUUAUUGAGGCAAUUAUCCUGAAGACUCAGCUGCAGUGGGCAGACCUGGAUGGAUGACAACCACCUACCAAAGGCUGUGAUAUAUGGAGAACUAAAGAUGGAGAAAAGUGACAGAGUGUCCCCAUGCAAGUGCUUCAAGAACACUCUGAAGAGGUCCUUUUCUGCCUGUGGUGUUGAUCACAAACUGUGGGAAACACAGACUACAGCUCAUGAUGCCUAGUGGCUCCAAAUCAAAAGGACAACAGCCCUCUUUGAAUGUCAGUGCAGACCAGCAUCAAGGAGAAGCGGAGUAGGAGGAAAGAUACAGCCUCAUCUAGCAGCAAUCAGCCAUUACACAUGUAACCAUUGCAGCAGGGUUUGCCUCUAUGGAACUGGACUGAUUAGUCACCAGCAGGCCUGCAACCGGCACGAGCAGUUACCUUCCUAACAUCUUCGUUUGUGAAGAACCACCGAGAAUUUAUAAUCAUUAGAAUGACUUCAACAAGGAAGACUGAUAAAGUUCACCCCAGAAUACCCAGUACUCAGACUAGUCUUCAUCUUCUUGAUUUUGAUUAAGUUCAAAGUUUGGUUCUUUCAGGGGGGGCCUCAUAGAUCUAAUGUAUUAUUAUAUAUCCAAAG
rnacentral:lncRNA from 1 species